rnacentral:rRNA from 2 species
GCGGCGGACGGGUGAGUAACACGUGGGCAACCUGCCUGUAAGACUGGGAUAACUUCGGGAAACCGAAGCUAAUACCGGAUAGGAUCUUCUCCUUCAUGGGAGAUGAUUGAAAGAUGGUUUCGGCUAUCACUUACAGAUGGGCCCGCGGUGCAUUAGCUAGUUGGUGAGGUAACGGCUCACCAAGGCAACGAUGCAUAGCCGACCUGAGAGGGUGAUCGGCCACACUGGGACUGAGACACGGCCCAGACUCCUACGGGAGGCAGCAGUAGGGAAUCUUCCGCAAUGGACGAAAGUCUGACGGAGCAACGCCGCGUGAGUGAUGAAGGCUUUCGGGUCGUAAAACUCUGUUGUUAGGGAAGAACAAGUACGAGAGUAACUGCUCGUACCUUGACGGUACCUAACCAGAAAGCCACGGCUAACUACGUGCCAGCAGCCGCGGUAAUACGUAGGUGGCAAGCGUUAUCCGGAAUUAUUGGGCGUAAAGCGCGCGCAGGCGGUUUCUUAAGUCUGAUGUGAAAGCCCACGGCUCAACCGUGGAGGGUCAUUGGAAACUGGGGAACUUGAGUGCAGAAGAGAAAAGCGG